rnacentral:rRNA from 1 species
GGAUUAGAUACCCUGGUAGUCCACGCUGUAAACGAUGUCUACUAGCCGUCGGGGUCCUUAGUGACUUUGGUGGCGCAGCUAACGCGAUAAGUAGACCGCCUGGGGAGUACGGCCGCAAGGUUAAAACUCAAAUGAAUUGACGGGGGCCCGCACAAGCGGUGGAGCAUGUGGUUUAAUUCGAUGCAACGCGAAGAACCUUACCAGGUCUUGACAUCCUCGGAAUUUGGCAGAGAUGCCUUAGUGCCUUCGGGAGCCGAGUGACAGGUGCUGCAUGGCCGUCGUCAGCUCGUGCCG